GACGAACGCUGGCGGCGUGCUUAACACCUGCAAGUCGAGCGGAGCGGCGAACGGGUUAGUAACGCGUGAGUAACUGCCCCCCUCUCUGGGAUGCCAGUUGUAAACGGCUGCUAAUACCGGAUCGUGGGGGAUGACUCGCGUCCUAUCCGCUUGUGGGUGGGGUAGUGGCCUACCAAGGCGACGCCGGGUAGCCUGCCUGAGCGUGCGACCGGCCACAUUGGGAUGAGAGACGGCCCAAACUCCUACGGGAGGCAGCAGUGGGGAAUAUUGCACAAUGGGGGAAACCCUGAUGCAGCAACGCGCGUGCGGGAGGACGGCCUUCGGGUUGUAAACCGCUUUCAGCCAUGACGCGGUAGUGGCAGAAGAAGCACCGGCUAACUACGUGCCAGCAGCCGCGGUAAUAC
rnacentral:rRNA from 1 species